rnacentral:rRNA from 1 species
GAUGAACGCUGGCGGCGUGCCUAAUACAUGCAAGUCGAGCGAAUGGAUUAAGAGCUUGCUCUUAUGAAGUUAGCGGCGGACGGGUGAGUAACACGUGGGUAACCUGCCCAUAAGACUGGGAUAACUCCGGGAAACCGGGGCUAAUACCGGAUAAUAUUUUGAACUGCAUGGUUCAAAAUUGAAAGGCGGCUUCGGCUGUCACUUAUGGAUGGACCUGCGUCGCAUUAGCUAGUUGGUGAGGUAACGGCUGACCAAGGCAACGAUGCGUAGCCGACCUGGGAGGGUGAUCGGCCACACUGGGACUGAGACACGGCCCAGACUCCUACGGGAGGCAGCUGUAGGGAAUCUUCCGCAAUGGACGAAAGUCUGACGGAGCAACGCCGCGUGAGUGAUGAAGGCUUUCGGGUCGUAAAACUCUGUUGUUAGGGAAGAACAAGUGCUAGUUGAAUAAGCUGACACCUUGACGGUACCUAACCAGAAAGCCACGGCUAACUACGUGCCAGCAGCCGCCGUAA